ACGCAUGCUGGCGGCGUGCUUAACACCUGCAAGUCGCACGGAAAGGCCCUGCUUUUGUGGGGUGCUCGAGUGGCGAACGGGUGAGUAACACGUGAGUAACCUGCCCUUGACUUUGGGAUAACUUCAGGAAACUGGGGCUAAUACCGGAUAGGAGCUCCUGCUGCAUGGUGGGGGUUGGAAAGUUUCGGCGGUUGGGGAUGGACUCGCGGCUUAUCAGCUUGUUGGUGGGGUAGUGGCUUACCAAGGCUUUGACGGGUAGCCGGCCUGAGAGGGUGACCGGCCACAUUGGGACUGAGAUACGGCCCAGACUCCUACGGGAGGCAGCAGUGGGGAAUAUUGCACAAUGGGCGGAAGCCUGAUGCAGCAACGCCGCGUGCGGGAUGAAGGCCUUCGGGUUGUAAACCGCUUUCGCCUGUGACGAAGCGUGAGUGACGGUAAUGGGUAAAGAAGCACCGGCUAACUACGUG
rnacentral:rRNA from 1 species